GUUACGCCCUAACAGUAUAAAUUUGCAACGAGCACUUUUUCUCAUUUUAUCGAAGAAAGCAUUAAACCUAAUUAUAUUGUAAUAUUAUGCCCAGAGGGUGUAAAUUUGGAACGAAUCGAUGUCAACGCUCACAAGAACAAAAACCGGAACAACAUUAGACUACUCAGUUGCGCCAUAACAGUAUAAUUUUGCAACGAGUGCUUUUCUCAUUUCAUCGAAGAAAGCGCAAAUCUAAUUAUAUUGUUCUAUUAUGCCCAGAGAGUGUAAAUUUGGAACGAAAUCGAUGUCAACGCUCACAAGAACAAAAACAGGAACAACAUUAGACUACUCAGUUGCGCCCUUACAGUAUAACUUUGCAACGAGUACUUUUUCUCAUUUUAUCGAAGAAAGCGUAAAACCUAAUUGUAUUCUUCUAUUAUGCCCAGAGAGUGUAAAUUUGGAACGAAUCGAUGUCAACGUUCACAAGAACAAAAACCGGAACAACAUUAGACUACUCAGUUGCGCCCUAACAGUAUAACUUUGCGACGAGUACUUUUUCUCAUUCUAUCGAACAAAGAGUAAAACAUAAUUAUAUUGUUCUAUUAUGCCCAGAGAGUGUAAAUUUGGAACGAAUCGAUGUCAACGCUCGCAAGAACAAAAACCGAAACAACUUUAGACUACUCAGUUGCGCAAUAACAGUAUAACAUUGCAACGAGUGAUUUUUCUCAUUUUAUCGAAGAAAGCGUAAAACCUAAUUAUAUUUUUCUAUUAUGACCAGAGAGUGUAAAUUUGGAACGAAUCGAUGUCAACGCUCACAAGAACAAAAAUCGGAACAACAUUAGACUACUCAGUUGCGCCCUAACAGUAUAACUUUGCAACGAGUACUUAUUCUCAUUUUAUCGAACAAAGCGUCAAACCUAAUUAUAUUGAUUUAUUAUGCCCAGAGAGUGUAAAUUUGGAACGAAUCAAUGUCAGCGCUCACAGGAACAAAAACCGGAACAACAAUAGACUGCUUAGUUGCGCCAUAACAGUAUAACUUUGCAACGAGUGCUUUUUCUCAUUUUAUCGAAAAAGCGCAAAUUUAAUUAUAUUGUUCUAUUCUGCCCAGAGAGUGUAAAUUUGGAACGAAUCGAUGUCAACGCUCACAAGAAAAAAAACCAGAACAACAUUAGACUACUCAGUUGCGACAUAACAGUAUAACUUUGCAACGAGUACUUUUUCUCAUUUUAUCGAAGAAAACGCAAAAUCUAAUUAUAUUGUUCUAUUAUGCCCAGAGAGUGUAAAUUUGGAACGAAUCGAUGUCAACGCUCACAUGAACAAAAAUCGGGACAACAUUAGACUACUGAGUUGCGCCCUAACAGUAUAAAUUUGCAACGAGACCUUUUUCUCAUUUUAUCGAAGAAAGCAUCAAACCUAAUUAUAUUGUUCUAUUAUGCCCAGACAGUGUAAUUUUGGAACGAAUCGAUGUCAACGCUCACAAGAAUAAAAACCGGAACAACAUUAGACUACUCAGUCGCGCCCUAACAGUAUAACUUUGCAACGAGUACUUUUUCUCAUUUUAUCGAAGAAAGCGUCAAACCUAAUUAUAUUGUUCUAUAAUGCCCAGAGAGUGUAAAUUUGGAACGAAUCGAUAUCAACACUCACAAAAAUAAAAACCGGAACAACAUUUGAGUACUCAGUUGUGCCUCUAACAGGUAUAACUUUUUGCAACCAGUACUUUAUUCUCAUUUUUUUGAAGUAAGCGGCCAAAACUAAUUUAUAUUGUAUUCUAUUUAGCCCCAGAGAGCUUGUAAAUUUCUGGAACGAAUUGAUGUCAACGCUCCACAAGAACAAAAACUGGAACAAAAUUAGGCUACUUAGUUGCGCCCUAACAGUAUAACUUUGCAACGAGUGCUUUUUCACAUUUUAUCGAAGAAAGCGUCAAACCUAAUUAUAUUGCUCUAUAAUGCCCAGAGAGUGUAAAUUUGGAACGAAUCGAUAUCAACACUCACAAAAAUAAAAACCGGAACAACAUUUGAGCACUCAGUUGUGUGCCCUUAACAGGUAUAACUUUUGCAACCAGUACUUUUUCUUCAUUUUAUCGAAAGUAAUGCGUCAAAACUAAUUUAUAUUAUGUCUCUUUUACGCCCAGAAGAGAGUAAAUCUGGAACGGAAUCGAUGUCAACGCUCACAAGAACAAAAACUGGAACAAAAUUAGGCUACUUAGUUGCGCCCUAACAGUAUAACUUUGCAACGAGUGCUUUUUCACAUUUUAUCGAAGAAAGCGUCAAACCUAAUUAUAUUGCUCUAUAAUGCCCAGAGAGUGUAAAUUUGGAACGAAUCGAUAUCAACACUCACAAAAAUAAAAACCGGAACAACAUUUGAGUACUCAGUUGCGCCUUAACAGUAUAACUUUGCAACCAGUACUUUUUCUCAUUUUAUCGAAGUAAGCGUCAAACCUAAUUAUAUUAUUCUAUUAUGCCCAGAGAGUGUAAAUUUGGAACGAUUCGAUGUCAACGCUCACAAGAACAAAAACCGGAACAACAUUAGACUCUUCAGUUGCACCCUAACAGUAUAACUUUGCAACGCGUACUUUUUCUCGUUUUAUCGAAGAAAGCGUAAAAUCUAAUUAUAUUGUUGUAUUAUGCCCAGAUAGUGUAAAUUUGGAACGAAUCGAUGUCAACGCUCACAAGAACAAAAACCGGAACAACAUUAGAGCACUCAGUUCCGCCAUAACAGUAUAACUUUGCAACGAGUGCUUUUUUUCAUUUUAUCGAAGAAAGCGUAAAACCUAGUUAUAUUAUUCUAUUAUGCCCAGAGAGUGUAAAUUUGGAACGAAUCGAUUUCAACGCUCACAAGAACAAAAACCGGAACAACAUUAGACUACUCAGUUGCGCCCUAACAGUAUAACUUUGCAACGAGUACUUUUUCUCAUUUAUCGAAGAAAGCGUCAAACCUAAUUAUAUUGUUCUAUCUUGCCCAGAGAGUGUAAAUUUGGAACGAAUCGAUGUCAAAGCUCACAAGAACAAAAAUCGGAUCAAUAUUAGACUACUCAGUUGCGCCCUAACAGUAUAACUUUGCAACGAGUGCUUUUUCUCAUUUUAUCGAAGAAAGCGUAAAUCUAAUUAUAUUGUUCUAUUAUACCUAGAGAGUGUAAAAUUGGAACGAACUGAUGUGAGCGCUCACAAGAACAAAAACCGGAUCAAUAUUAGACUACUCAGUUCCGCCCUAACAGUAUAACUUUGCAACGAGUACUUUUUCUCAUUUAUCGAAGAAAGCGUCAAACCUAAUUAUAUUGUUCUAUUAUGCCCAGAGAGUGUAAAUUUGGAACGAAUCGAUUUUAAAGCUCACAAGAACAAAAACCGGAACAAUAUUAGACAACUCAGUUGCGCCCGAACAGUAUAACUUUGCAACGAGUGCUUUUUCUCAUUUUAUCGAAGAAAGCGUCAAACCUCAUUAUAUUGUUCUAUUAUGCCGAGAGAGUGUAAAUUUGGAACGAAUCGAUGUCAACGCUCACAAGAACAAAAACCGGAACAACAUUAGACUCUUCAGUUGCACCCUAACAGUAUAACUUUGCAACGCGUACUUUUUCUCGUUUUAUCGAAGAAAGCGUAAAAUCUAAUUAUAUUGUUGUAUUAUGCCCAGAUAGUGUAAAUUUGGAACGAAUCGAUGUCAACGCUCACAAGAACAAAAACCGGAACAACAUUAGAGCACUCAGUUCCGCCAUAACAGUAUAACUUUGCAACGAGUGCUUUUUUUCAUUUUAUCGAAGAAAGCGUAAAACCUAGUUAUAUUAUUCUAUUAUGCCCAGAGAGUGUAAAUUUGGAACGAAUCGAUUUCAACGCUCACAAGAACAAAAACCGGAACAACAUUAGACUACUCAGUUGCGCCCUAACAGUAUAACUUUGCAACGAGUACUUUUUCUCAUUUUAUCGAAGAAAGCGUAAAAUCUAAUUAUAUUGUUCUAUUAUUCCCAGAUAGUGUAAAUUUGGAACGAAUUGAUGUCAACGCUCACAAGAACAAAAACCGGAACAACUUUAGACUACUCAGUUGCGCCUAACAGUAUAACUUUGCAACGAGUACUUUUUCUCAUUUUAUCGAAGAAAGCGUCAAAACUAAUUAUAUUGUUCUAUUACGCCCAGAGAGUGUAAAUUUGGAACGAAUUGAUGUCAACGCUCACAAGAACAAAAACUGGAACAAAAUUAGGCUACUUAGUUGCGCCCUAACAGUAUAACUUUGCAACGAGUGCUUUUUCACAUUUUAUCGAAGAAAGCGUCAAACCUAAUUAUAUUGCUCUAUAAUGCCCAGAGAGUGUAAAUUUGGAACGAAUCGAUAUCAACACUCACAAAAAUAAAAACCGGAACAACAUUUGAGUACUCAGUUGCGCCUUAACAGUAUAACUUUGCAACCAGUACUUUUUCUCAUUUUAUCGAAGUAAGCGUCAAACCUAAUUAUAUUAUUCUAUUAUGCCCAGAGAGUGUAAAUCUGGAACGAAUCGAUGUCAACGCUCACAAGAACAAAAACCGGAACAACAUUAGACUACUCAGUUGCGCCAUAACAAUAUAACUUUGCAACGAGUACUUUUUCUUAUUUUAUCGAAGAAAGCGUAAAUCCUAAUUAUAUUAUUCUAUUAUGCCCAGAGAGAGUAAAUUUAGAACCAAUCGAUGUCAACGCUCACAAGAACAAAAAUCGGAACAACAAUAGACUACUCAGUUGCACCCUAACAGUAUAACUUUACAACGAGUGCUUUUUCUCAUUUUAUCGAAGAAGGCGUCAAACCUAAUUAUAUUGUUCUAUUAUUCCGAGAAAGUGUAAAUUUGGAACGAAUCGAUGUCAAAGCUCACAAGAACAAAAACCGGAACAAUAUUGGACUACUCAGUUGCGCCCUAACAGUAUAACUUUGCAACGAGUGCUUUUUCCCAUUUUAUCGAAGAAAGCGUAAAUGCUAAUUAUAUUGUUCUAUUAUGCCCAGAGAGUGUAAAUUUGGAACGAACCGAUGUCAGCGCUCACAAGAACAAAAACCGGAACAACAUUAGACUAAUCAGUUGCGCCCGAACAGUAUAAUUUUGCAACGAGUGAUUUUUCUCAUUUUAUCGAAGAAAGCGUCAAACCUAAUUAUAUUGUUCUAUUAUGCCCAGAGAGUGUAAAUUUGGAACGAAUCGAUGUCAACGCUCACAUGAACAAAAAUCGGGACAACAUUAGACUACUGAGUUGCGCCCUAACAGUAUAAAUUUGCAACGAGACCUUUUUCUCAUUUUAUCGAAGAAAGCAUCAAACCUAAUUAUAUUGUUCUAUUAUGCCCAGACAGUGUAAUUUUGGAACGAAUCGAUGUCAACGCUCACAAGAAUAAAAACCGGAACAACAUUAGACUACUCAGUCGCGCCCUAACAGUAUAACUUUGCAACGAGUACUUUUUCUCAUUUUAUCGAAGAAAGCGUCAAACCUAAUUAUAUUGUCUAUUAUGACCAGAGAGUGUAAAUUUGGAACGAAUCGAUGUCAACGCUCACAAGAACAAAAACCGGAAGAAAAUUAGACCACUUAGUUGCGCCCUAACAGUAUAACUUUGCAACGAGUACUUUUUCUCAUUUUAUCGAAUAAAGCGUAAAACCUAAUUAUAUUGUUCUAUUAUGCCCAGAGAGUGUAAAUUUGGAACGAAUCGAUGUCAACGCUCACAAGAACAAAAACCGGAAUAACUUUAGACUACUCAGUUGCGCCAUAACAAUAUAACUUUGCAA
rnacentral:lncRNA from 1 species